rnacentral:rRNA from 1 species
GACGAACGCUGGCGGCGUGCUUAACACAUGCAAGUCGAACGGAAAGGCCCUGCUUUUGUGGGGUGCUCGAGUGGCGAACGGGUGAGUAACACGUGAGUAACCUGCCCUUGUCUUUGGGAUAACUUCAGGAAACUGGGGCUAAUACCGGAUAGGAGCUCCUGCUGCAUGGUGGGGGUUGGAAAGUUUCGGCGGUUGGGGAUGGACUCGCGGCUUAUCAGCUUGUUGGUGGGGUAGUGGCUUACCAAGGCUUUGACGGGUAGCCGGCCUGAGAGGGUGAACGGCCACCAGGGGACUACGGGAGGGCGCAGUCGCGUAUGGGGGGCAAUGGGGGGGAAUCUGACACAGUGGCGGCACGUCGGUGACAGAGGCCCUCCGGGCGGAAAGCCGUGCUUCGGGUUGUAAACCGCUGUCGCCUGUGACAAAGCGGGAGUGACGGUAAUGGGUAAAGAAGCACCGGCUAACUACGUG